rnacentral:lncRNA from 1 species
UUUUAGUCGUUAUGCAUUUGCUAUGAUUUUUUUGUUUUAUACAACAUUAUCGUCAUAUGAAAAUGCAAGAUAAUAUAUCGUGUAGUUCUGAAAAAUUUAACAGAGAUUAGAAAUGGAUCAUUUGCAAUUAUUGUAUUAUUUAAUAAAUGGGAGAUGAUCAUGAACUAGGCUGGACCUUUGUGAUUUGAUUAUGGAUGUAUCUGAAUGUUUCUGAGAUGAGAUGAUGUGAUGUAUUUAUUUAUGGGUGUAAUUUGCAUAACUAUUUGUUAUUUAGUUUUCGGUAUUUGUAAAUAGGGUAUGCUUGUAUUACACUAAA